rnacentral:rRNA from 1 species
GUCGAACGCUGGCGGCGUGCUUAACACAUGCAAGUCGAACGAAGUGGCGAACGGGUGAGUAAUACGUGAGUAACCUGCCCUCCUUUUUGGGAUAAGCCUUGGAAACGGGGUCUAAUACCGAAUAAACGGGGAUGGGCUCGCGGCCUAUCAGCGGGUUGGAGGGGUGAGGGCGUACCAAGGGGGUGACGGGUAGCGGGCCUGAGAGGGUGACCGGACACAUUGGGACGGUGAUCAGUCCCAUACUACUACGGGAGUCAGCAGUGGGGGAUAUUGGACAAUGUGCGAAAGCACGAUGCAGCGAGGACGCGUGGGGGAUGAAGGCUUUCGGGUUGUAAACCUCUGUAGCUAUCGAACCGGUAGGUGGAGAAGAAGCGCCGGCUAACUACGUGCCAGCAGCCGCGGUAAUAC